rnacentral:snRNA from 1 species
GGAUAUGAGGGCAAUCUGGCUGUGAUACCUAUUACUUCACUGAUUAUAGGGUAGAUUCAUCUGUUCUGGUUUGGCCUUGUGAUGUUUCUUCCCUAUCUCAGUGCUCCAUGUGUGUCCCCUCAAAAGAAUACACUUGAUUAGAGGAGAUAACUUUCUGGGAAAAGAUGAACCCAUCUUUGUGGAAAAUAUAGGGGUAGCUACACUCUUCUAGUAUAACUUCCAAGAAAGUUCUCAAAAAUGGGCAUUUAUUGGUAAAAUGGCUGGAGUACAGCACU